rnacentral:lncRNA from 1 species
UCCGCGCGGGGAUCGGCUCUGCGGAGGCGGCGGAAGGCGCGGCCGGCCCUGCGGAGCGGUGCGGGUCCUCUCGGAGAGCGAAGGGCUCUUCUCUCCGCCCUCCGGAUCAGUAACCCUCUGUACCCCGGCUUUCCUGCAAAGGAAAGCCCGGGUAGAAAUGAUUAGGAGCUCCGCCCUGGCGCUGUCGCUGCUGCCGUUAGCGUCCGCCCGACACAAGCCUGCCGCACACAGCAAACUUGGACCGCGUGGGGCGCGCGGGGUGCGCGGGGCUUCCCUGCCCUCCUGCUGCUCUCCGACCUGCCUCGCCCCUGGCCGUCCCAGCUCCCCGGGGUGCGCUCCGAUUGGGGCUGUACGAAACAGUUUCAGCACCAAAGACAUGGGAGUGACGAAGAUGCACGAGGCCUGGACCCUGCGGAGCUCACAUUCCGGUGGGAUAGAGACAGAAAACAGGCCCGUACUAUAAUAUCCGGUAACGGAAAGUAGGAAGAAGUAGGAAGGGCUAGAGAGUAACAUGCAGACUUGCUGGUAGGAAGGGCCUCUCUACGGGGUAUCAUUUGAACAAGAUGCCUCAAGGGGAGGAAGAGCCUCGGAUAGCAAGAUCUCGGACCAUGGAUAGAAGAGCGAAUGCAGAGGUCCUAGACCAAGGGCCGACUUAGUGUACUGGGAAAAGAAAGAUCAGUAUGGGUAGAAAAAUGUCACCGAGGAAAUGUCGCAGAAGGUAAAACAGAAAGGUAAGCAGAGGCCAGGUGAGGCAGAGCCGCUUAGCCGGUGGUAAGAAAAUUUCAUUUUAUUCUGAGCGCAGUGGGAAGAUAUUGAAGAACUUGCAUCAGUGUGAUAGAAUGUAAUUUGGGCUUUUGAAGACUGCUGUGGCCGUGCACACGUUCGAAGUUAUUAAGUGGCAUAAGCAACGAGUGCUUAGCGUGGGGAGGCUGCGAAGGGGACUGUUUGAAAUGAGCCUCCGUCUCCGGAUGGAAAGGCAGGAUCUGUGAUGGAAAGAGGAACAUUUCAUCAGUGUCCCCUGGCUGCGGCCUUAGACACCACAUGGCAGCGAUGCGUGCCCUGAAUGCUUGGGGCGCUUUCUACCCACCUGCCUGUAAACCAUGCAAAGUCUGGGGCCCUGUGCGCCUCCACCACGCGGGGCUGCAGAGUCGCCUCCACUCCCCUCUCCUGCUCUACAGUAGGUAUUCCUGGAAGAGCCGUCUCCUGAGGUUGACUUGCUCCACUGAGGGGGAUCUGGGCUCCUCCCGACUGCAGGGAGCCCUACAGCCCCCGGAUACACUGCAGUAGCUCAGUGGCAGAUUGGAGCUUGCCCAGUGCAGAUCGAGCCAGAAUGGAGAGCAGAGAAAUCUCCCUUCCCACCCCUACUCUCCUCGUGGCAAACAAACCACUUGUUCUGGUGACCGGUUGUGGCUCUGCUCACGAAGCAGGGACUAGCUUGUAACUCGUCAUCUUGAAUUUGUGCCCGAUCGUUUUCUGUCUAAUUUUCCUGCUCCCGUAUGCUCACGACCUUAGUUCACACCUGCCACAAAACCAUCAGUACUUAAGUCCCUUCUCCGGUUUUGUUUUCUACAGAAGCCGAGCUAAAGCCAGGGGAUCCAACCUCCAGUGUGAGGUGUGUUAAGGUUGAGGUUUGUGAUAAAUACAAAUAGGGUUUUGGACAUGUAUGUCUAGACUGUGGAGAAGAGGUCCAGGUAGGCCAAGGCUUCUCAUCCUCAGCACUGCUGACAUUUGAACGAGUUACUGCUGGGCUGUGGAGGGCUGUCCUGUGCAUUGGAGGACAUUCAGUAGCAUCCCUGGUCUCACUUCUGGAGAUACCAGCAGCACCAGUGCCCAGUUGUGACAACCAAAAAUUUCUCCAGGCACUGCCCGAUCACCUGCCCAACCACGAGGGUGGAUGUUGUGGUUAGAUCUGACAUGUCCCCCAGAUUCUCUUGUGUGUGGAAGGCCAUUGGACCAUGGGGUGACUUUCUGUUGGGAGGGGGUCUGGCUGGACCAGCCCCUGGGACAUCUCCUCACUUUGCUUCCUGUCUUCCAGGGGAUGAGCAGCUGUCCCUCACCCGAACCCUUCUCUUGGCCCAUUUCUGCCGACUCCACUGAAACCACCAAAAUAAACCUGUCUUCCUUUAAGUUGCAGGUGUGGGUAUUGUGUUUCAGUGACAAAGAAGGUGACUAAGAUUGAAGGAGAGCACUUGAGCACGAAGGUAGAAGGAGAAGAGGAAACAUUCAGAGAUUGUGCUUCAGGAUGGGAGGCCAGGCGGAGAAGGAAGAGCUGGCAACACAGCCAAGAGGGAGCAGCUGGCAAGAAACAGGAAAUGAAUGAGGUGAGUCCUGGGAUCAUCCUGGCUCUCUGCAUAGAGCUACUUUGCAGAAGUUAUGCAGAGAUGGAACCCAAGCAGAAUCUGUUCAUCGCGCUGAGUCCGGAACUGGAGUCUGGAAGGCGGAGAGGACUGACAGUCUUGAGACAGAGCACUGCAGAGAAAGGAGCUGCAGAGGGAAAAAGCCCCAGAUACAAGGCUCCUCCUUUGAGUCUGUACCUGAAUCCUAAACUACACCUGUAGGGUAAGACUCUACGAAGCCGAGUUCUUUAAUUAAGCAGUGCAGUUCAUUCUACUGAGAGACUCAUAGGAUCUUCUCAAUAGAGAAAGGAAAGCUAUUUGACAAAAUUCAACACACGCUUAUUAUUUAAACAAACAAACCUUUUGGCACCCUAGGAAUAGAAGGAACUUUCUCAACCUGAUAGAUGACAUGUACAGAAAUAACCUACAGCAAGCAUCGUGCCAGAUGAGUACAAGCCUGGAUGUUUUCCUUCCAGGAUCAAGAAAAAGGCACAUAUAUGCAGUCUUGUUGCUUCUAUUCAACAGUGCUUCAGAGGCCCUUGCCAGUUCAAUAAAGCAAUAAAAGGACACACAUUUGAAAAGAAGUAAAACUGUCCUUAUUCAUUGAUGGCACAGUUGUCUAUGUGGUAAAUCCUAAGGAAUCUACAAAAAAGCAACUGUAAAUAUUAAGUGAAUUUAACAAAGCUAAAAGUACAGAAUGAAUAUAUAAAAAUCAGUUGUAUCUCUGUCAUUUUUAAUAGCAUCAAAAACCAUGCAAUAUUUAUGUUGCAAUAAAAUAUGUUAGAUAUAAGACCUGUACUUAGAAAAUAAUAAAAUGCUGCUAAGAGAAAUGAAAGCCUCAAUAAAUGGAAAGAUAUACCAUGAUUAUGGACUGUAAGAAUCAAUAUUGUUAUGAUGGUGAUUCUUCCCAAAUUGAUCUAACAGUUCAGUGUAACCUCAAUCAAAAUGUCAGCAGCCUUGUUUACAGAAAUUGUAGAAUAG